rnacentral:lncRNA from 1 species
UAUGUUUUUUUCAGAACUGUUUAUUAUACUGCAAAGAUCAUGUGGAAGGCUAGUUAUUUUGGUGACCUUUUUUUAUUUUGUUUUGUAGCCCUGACUAUAAUGUGGAAUUUUUCCGACAGUUUAUACUGGUUAUGAAUGCUUUAGAUAACAGAGCUGCCCGAAACCAUGUUAAUAGAAUGUGCCUGGCAGCUGAUGUUCCUCUUAUUGAAAGUGGAACAGCUGGGUAUCUUGGACAAGUAACUACUAUCAAAAAGGGUGUGACCGAGUGUUAUGAGUGUCAUCCUAAGCCGACCCAGAGAACCUUUCCUGGCUGUACAAUUCGUAACACACCUUCAGAACCUAUACAUUGCAUC